GAUGAACGCUGGCGGCGUGCUUAACACAUGCAAGUCGAACGAAGCACUUUUGAUUCUUCGGAAGAGAAAGUGACUGAGUGGCGGACGGGUGAGUAACGCGUGGGUAACCUGCCUUAUACAGGGGGAUAACAGUUGGAAACGACUGCUAAUACCGCAUAAGCCGACAGGGCCGCAUGGCCUAGUUGGAAAAGAUUUAUCGGUAUAAGAUGGACCCGCGUCUGAUUAGCUAGUUGGUGGGGUAAUGGCCUACCAAGGCGACGAUCAGUAGCCGGCUUGAGAGAGUGAACGGCCACAUUGGGACUGAGGCACGGCCCAAACUCCUACGGGAGGCAGCAGUGGGGAAUAUUGCACAAUGGGGGAAACCCUGAUGCAGCAACGCCGCGUGAAGGAAGAAGUAUUUCGGUAUGUAAACUUCUAUCAGCAGGAAAGAAAAUGACGGUACCUGACUAAGAAGCCCCGGCUAACUACGUGCCAGCAGCCGCCGUAAUAC
rnacentral:rRNA from 1 species